rnacentral:rRNA from 1 species
UACGUAGGGGGCGAGCGUUGUCCGGAUUUAUUGGGCGUAAAGAGCGUGUAGGCGGCCAGGUAGGUCUGCUGUGAAACUCGAGGCUCAACCUCGAGAUGUCGGCGGAAACCAUCUGGCUAGAGUCCGGAAGAGGAGAAUGGAAUUCCCGGUGUAGCGGUGAAAUGCGCAGAUAUCGGGAAGAACACCCGUGGCGAAGGCGGUUCUCUGGGACGGUACUGACGCUGAGACGCGAAAGCGUGGGGAGCGAACAGG